rnacentral:rRNA from 1 species
GACGAACGCUGGCGGCGUGCUUAACACAUGCAAGUCGAACGAUGAAGCUGGAGCUUGCUCCGGUGGAUUAGUGGCGAACGGGUGAGUAACACGUGAGAAAUCUGCCCUUGACUCUGGGAUAACUGCGGGAAACUGUAGCUAAUACCGGAUACUUUCCUCGGUGGGCAUCCACUGGGGAAGAAAGAAUUUCGGUCAAGGAUGAUCUCGCGGCCUAUCAGCUAGGUGGUGAGGUAAUGGCUCACCAAGGCGACGACUGGUAGCCGGCCUGAGAGGGUGACCGGCCACACUGGGACUGAGACACGGCCCAGACUCCUACGGGAGGCAGCAGUGGGGAAUAUUGCACAAUGGGCGCAAGCCUGAUGCAGCAACGCCGCGUGAGGGAUGAAGGCCUUCGGGUUGUAAACCUCUUUUAGCAGGGAAGGAGCGAAAGUGACGGUACCUGCAGAAAAAGCACCGGCUAACUACGUGCCAGCAGCCGCCGUAA